UGGGUUAUGCAGCCAUGCCGGUGAAUAGC
rnacentral:piRNA from 1 species